rnacentral:rRNA from 1 species
AGAGUUUGAUCAUGGCUCAGGAUGAACGUGGGCGGUGUGCGUAAUACAUGCAAGUCGAACGGAGAUAAUAGCAAUAUUGUCUUAGUGGCGAACGGGUGAGUAACGCGUUGGUGAUCUGCCCCGAAGUGGGGAAUAACAAUUCGAAAGAAUUGCUAAUACCCCAUGUGAUCUUAGAGAUUUGACGCUCUUUGAUUAAAGGAUUUAUUCGCUUCGGGAGGAGCCUGCGUCCCAUCAGCUAGUUGGUAAGGUAAUGGCUUACCAAGGCGAUGACGGGUAGGGGACCUGAGAGGGUGGCCCCCCACAAUGGAACUGAAACACGGUCCAUACACCUACGGGUGGCAGCAGUAGGGAAUAUUAGUAAUGGGCGAAAGCCUGAACUAGCAACACCGCGUGUGCGAUGAAGGCCUUCGGGUUGUAAAGCACUUUUAGAGAGGACGAGGAAGGACGGUACUCUCUGAAUAAGUCUCGGCUAACUACGUGCCAGCAGCCGCGGUAAAACGUAGGAGGCGAACGUUAUCCGGAUUUACUGGGCGUAAAGCGCGUGUAGGUGGUUUGGUAAGUAGGGCGUGAAAGCUCCUGGCUCAACUGGGAGAGGUCGUUCUAAACUGCCGGACUAGAGGAUGGUAGAGGGAAGUGGAAUUCCGGGUGUAGCGGUGGAAUGCGCAGAUAUCCGGAGGAACACCAGUGGCGAAAGCGGCUUCCUGGACCAACCCUGACACUCAGACGCGAAAGCUAGGGUAGCAAACGGGAUUAGAGACCCCGGUAGUCCUAGCCGUAAACGAUGUAGACUUGACGUCGGUGGUUUAAUAUCCAUCGGUGUCGUAGCUAACGCGAUAAGUCUACCGCCUGGGGACUACGGCCGCAAGGUUAAAACUCAAAGGAAUUGACGG